UGCAAAGUUCACAUGUCUGAGCACAGAUAAGGGACUCUGAAUAUGUGUGUAUUUGUUGUGUGCAUGCCCGCAGAAUGGGACACAGAGACUCACUCUGUUCAUCAGGGAUUUGUUUUAAUCAGGAAUUGGCAAGCAUGGGAAGAGCACGCUGUCCAGGGUCGGCAAGGCCUGGAAAUGUCAGCGCAUCAGAAUACUGAAAAUAAAAGACUCGAGAGGAAGAAAACCAAAUAGAGUAAACGAAACCCAGCCAACCAGCUCAGUUUCACGUGGGCAGAACCAGCAGGAAAUUGAAAGGGGAGAGAAGCCCCUCGCCAAAGCCGCCUCCAAUUGCACUGGGAAGCCCACCACAGGCCACCACUUGGGCUGGGAGAUUCGUCAGCAGGCAUUGGCCUGCGACAGUCACACUUCCUCCUCCUCAGUCUGAGAUGCCCCAACCAGAUUGCAGAGGCCCGAUGGGGAAGGAGCAGCCUCCGUGGAGGCCCGCCUGGUUUUCCAGCCCUGGACUUGCAGCCGGGACAUGAGGGCUCUCUCCUACUCUCCCACCCCUCCUGCUGGUGAAGCAAGCCCCUCCUGCUCAUAAGGGAGCUUUCUCUGCCCUGGAAGAUGCUUGGAAACUUGGCGAUGCUUCCAGACCUGCAGGCGCCGGGGGCCUGUCCACUCCUCCUCCCCCUUCUCCUGGACUUACUGACCUUCCUUCUGUGCCACAAACAGCCAGGUUCUUUCCUGACCCAGGGACCCUGUGUGACCGACCAUGCUCCUCCCGGAUGCUGUCCCCAGCUCUGUGCAUGGCUGCCCCUUCUCACCUUUCAGGGCUCUGCCAGGUGUCACCUCCUAGGUGAGCACCUCCCUGACCACCCUGUCCCCAGGACCCCCCUCCACCAAGGCACUUCCUAGCAUGUCGCUCCAUUUCCUCUUCUCAGGACCCCGCAUCACCAUCUGAAAUGAAUUUGAGCAUGUGUUGACUUGGGGAACAUCUCUCCCUCUUCUUACCUGUGUGUGAACUCCAAGGAAAAUCAGUGACUGACCUGACUUACGGACCUGUGUCCCCAGCGCCUGUAGCGGUACCCAGCCCAGAGGUGCUGGCGCCCAUGAUACUGAUGACUCCGAGGGUGAGCCUGGCGUCCAAGUCCCGGGCUCAAGUCCUGAUACAGCUGUUCCCAGGCACCUGACUUUGGGAGAGAUGCCUCCUCUCUGGGUCAAGGUUUUAUCCUUUGUGGCGUGAACCAAUACUCCAAUAUCCAUCAGUCACGACUGCUGGGGCUCAAAGACCAAGGUGACAUAUGUCAAGGUGCUUGGCCAACUCAGAGAGUUGUGCAAAGAGAAGUGACCAUGUUAAG